GUUUGCUGAGGUCCUGCUGCCUGCUGUGCUCCUGCUGGCCUGCAUCUUUCAACAUCGGUACUUUAAUGAAGACUUUCCGAAGACCACCAGCCUGCAUAAUAGCCCCAUUAGAUGGAAGGGCGCGUCUGACAGCAACAGGAAGGAAACCGAAGUACAUCUCCUGCCAGACAUUGUCUCAGGGUGCCCUGAGACUGCUGCCGGGAGGAGGAGGCCGCCCGUGUGUACUGACCCAGAGGGAGCUUCAAGAUCGAUGGCCAGAUGGCGAAAGCAAGGGGAAGGACUGUGUAUAGAA